CUGGAGGACUCUGGAGGCGCCGUUAGGGGCCACGUCAAUGUCAGAAGGGACUCCUCAGAACCAUAGGUGUGUAUAUUUACCACAUCGUCUCUGCCCAUUCUUCUGUCGAUGGACAUCUGGGCUCUAUACAGUUUCGCUGUUGUUGACAAUGCUGCUACCAACACUGGGCUGCGUGUUCCUCUUCGAAUCUACUCAACUACUUUUGUAUCCUCAGGACUGUUGUGCCCAAGAUUGCGAAUAUGAGAAACCACCGAGAAGUCGACACGAAUGCAAACACACGAGGGUUAGUUUACAAGAUCGAGCUUGUGUCCAAGUAUACCCGACACAGCAGAGUAGGGACUUGGACCCCAAGAGGAAGAAUUCAGGGAUUCACCAGUUGGAGAUAACAGCAGUGCACGUGACAACACCUCCCCUGUUAUCCCCAAACUCCAGCGGCCCUCAGUAUUUUUCCUUUCAUUAAGAGUCUGUAUUUCCUGCAUCUGUUUUUAUCAUAUUUGUUUUUCCUUCCCUUUACAGUUGUUAUCUGCUUUGCUUCUUUAAUUCCACCUAUGAAUGACACCACACG